CAGUCAUCCCUAGCGGCGAACUUCUCCCCUAUCUUUGCUCGCUCUCUCUCUCUAGAAUUUUCCAGCGGCUUACUGCACUUUUUGCUUCCAAGAAAGAGAACUUGCGAAACCGCGAGAGAUGCGUGAUUUCCCGAGGAUUUCUCUGAAGUAUCUGAUUAGGAUCUGACUUUGACGCGUGCUGAUUAAUUGGCGGGUCAAAUUUCUGGUCGCGUCGGAUCUCUCCUGGAGUGUUUUGUUGAAUUUGAGGUCAACUUGUUCCUUCUGCGAAGGCUCUUGGGUGUGAUGACAGAGACCUGAGAGAGGCAAGGAAAGGUCUCAAAGCUUGCAAAGGCGGAGAUCCUCAUGUUGAACCUAGGAUCCAUGUCUAUGCCAGUUGUAACUACGAUGUGGGAAGGCCAAUAAUGAUUAGGAAUUACUUUUAUGAUAUGAAAGGAAAACCUUGUUUUCAUUUUUUUUCCCCCUUCAGGUUUAAUACUUGUAAUAAUUUUGAGUUUUUGGUGUUGUCGAUGCUUAUUUUAAAGACUAUUAUUUAUGUCAUUUAAAAUAAUAUAUUGAGUGCCAUUAUGGCAUUUUGUUUC